AACGCUAGCUACAGGCUUAACACAUGCAAGUCGAGGGGUAACAAGAGAAAAGCUUGCUUUUCUUGUUGACGACCGGCGCACGGGUGAGUAACGCGUAUGCAACCUGCCUAUCAGAGGAGAAUAACCCGGCGAAAGUCGGACUAAUACUCCAUAAAACAGGGGUCCCGCAUGGGAAUAUUUGUUAAAGAUUAAUCGCUGAUAGAUGGGCAUGCGUUCCAUUAGCUGGUUGGUGAGGUAACGGCUCACCAAGGCAACGAUGGAUAGGGGUUCUGAGAGGAAGGUCCCCCACACUGGUACUGAGACACGGACCAGACUCCUACGGGAGGCAGCAGUGAGGAAUAUUGGUCAAUGGGCGAGAGCCUGAACCAGCCAAGUCGCGUGAAGGAUGAAGGAUCUAUGGUUUGUAAACUUCUUUUAUACGGGAAUAAAGUUCAGGACGUGUCCUGUUUUGUAUGUACCGUUAUGAAUAAGCAUCGGCUAACUCCGUGCCAGCAGCCGCGGUAAUACGGAGGAUGCGAGCGUUAUCCGGAUUUAUUGGGUUUAAAGGGUGCGUAGGUGGUAGAUUAAGUCAGCGGUGAAAGUUUGUCGCUCAACGAUAAAAUUGCCGUUGAUACUGGUUUACUUGAGUAUAGUUGAAGUAGGCGGAAUGCGUGGUGUAGCGGUGAAAUGCAUAGAUAUCACGAAGAACUCCGAUUG
rnacentral:rRNA from 1 species